CAGCUGCCGCCAUGACCAGCAGCAUGUGAAGACGCCGGUAAGCCACCAGCCACGUGGCAAGAGAUUCAUCAGUGACUGAUUCUCAAACCUGCAUUGUAAGUACAUACACAAGCGCAAUCAACUGAAUCAUUAGCAUUUAUUAGAGAGGACAGAUUCAAAUUGAUGGGCAGGGCUGAAGAAAUGGUGAUAGGUUUCUUCAGGGACAAGAAAAGGCCUGGCAAGAAGUGAAAGGUUGUUAAUAGGUCAUUGAUUUAGAUGCUGUUUACAAGAUUCUGAAACGGUGGUAUCAUGUAUGAAACAUGAAGUCAUGCACAAAUAUUCCCAGUUACUCACUUGCUUGGAACCACACAGAGUGGACCAUGGAAAUUAAAAUCUACAUUUUUUUCACCACAUUAUUUUGACCUUGCAGGUCAAAUUUCUAAACUGCUUCAAACAGCAAGCACACAUAAGAUCCUGGAGGAGUCCCCGAUUUCCAAUGCAGGAGGUUGCUUGGUGGCAGAGCUCUGCAAGUGUCCAACAGCAGGCAUUCCAUGGAGUGGUGUACUGGCGUGGCGUGCCAGCG